rnacentral:rRNA from 1 species
AUGGCGUCCGAGCUCACGUACCGUGGCGGGGCUGCGUCCCCGUCCGCGGGCGCCGCCGGCGCCGGCGAGUAUUCGUCCGCGAAGCCCGCCAGCUCCAAGCCGCUCGCGUGGCUGCCCCGCGCCGCCCGCUACGCCGCGGCCGAGCACCGCCCGCUCUUCGCCCUCGUCGGCAUGCUCUUCGCCGCGGCCCUCUUCUGCCUCGCCGCCCCCUCCGGCUCCGGCUCCGGCACCGCCGCCCCCUACUCCUCCUCCGGACGCGCGGCCGCCGUCUCCGGCGCGCUCACCCGCUUCUCCGUCGACCCCGCGGCGCACAACCCGGGCCGCCAGUUCGUGGCCGGCAAGGUGCCCCUGGGGCUGAAGCGCAAGGGGCUGCGCGUCCUCGUCACCGGCGGCGCCGGCUUCGUGGGCAGCCACCUGGUGGACCGCCUGGUGGCGCGCGGCGACAGCGUGAUCGUGGUGGACAACCUCUUCACGGGCCGCAAGGAGAACGUGAUGCACCACUUCGGCAACCCCAACUUCGAGAUGAUCCGCCACGACGUCGUCGAGCCCAUCCUCCUCGAGGUCGACCAGAUCUACCAUCUCGCCUGUCCCGCAUCCCCCGUCCACUACAAGUACAACCCCGUCAAGACAAUCAAGACCAAUGUGGUUGGUACACUCAACAUGCUUGGACUGGCCAAGAGGAUCGGCGCCAGGUUCCUCCUCACCAGCACCAGUGAGGUCUACGGUGAUCCCCUCCAGCACCCUCAGGUGGAGACCUACUGGGGCAAUGUCAACCCCAUCGGUGUCAGGAGUUGCUACGACGAGGGCAAGCGUACAGCUGAAACCUUGACCAUGGACUACCACCGUGGUGCCAACCUUGAGGUUAGGAUUGCUCGGAUCUUUAACACCUAUGGCCCACGCAUGUGCAUUGACGAUGGCCGUGUUGUCAGCAACUUUGUUGCUCAGGCGCUAAGGAAGGAGCCUUUGACGGUUUACGGCGAUGGCAAGCAGACCAGGAGUUUCCAAUACGUUUCUGAUUUGGUUGAGGGGUUGAUGAGGCUGAUGGAAGGUGACCACAUAGGGCCAUUCAACUUGGGUAACCCUGGUGAGUUCACCAUGCUAGAGCUGGCCAAGGUUGUCCAGGACACCAUCGACCCGAAUGCACGGAUCGAGUUCCGUGAGAACACCCAGGACGACCCGCACAAGCGCAAGCCAGACAUCACCAAGGCCAAGGAGCAGCUCGGGUGGGAGCCGAAGAUCGCCCUCCGUGACGGUCUUCCCCUCAUGGUCACCGACUUCCGCAAGCGGAUCUUCGGCGACCAAGAUAACGCUGCCACCGCCACCGAAGGCCAGUAA